rnacentral:misc_RNA from 1 species
GAUGAAGAACGUAGCGAAAUGCGAUAAGUAAUGUGAAUUGCAGAAUUCAGUGAAUCAUCGAAUCUUUGAACGCACCUUGCGCUCCUUGGUAUUCCGAGGAGCAUGCCUGUUUGAGUGUCAUUAAAUUCUCAACUAUACAAGUUUUUGAAACCUGUAUAGCUUGGAUCUUGGGAUCUGCGGGCUUUUACCAGCCGGCUAUCCUCAAAUGCAUUAGCAGAGCUUUUGCCGCUAACCUAUGGUGUGAUAAUUAUCUACGCCAUCGAGAGGCGACAUAUUGAAGCUACGCUUCUAAUCGUCCUUUGGGACAAUUAUUGACAAUCUGACCUCAAAUCAGGUAGGACUACCCGCUGAACUUAAGCAUAUCAAUAAGCGGAGGGA